CCCCCCCCCCAAAAAAAAAAAAUAUAUAUAUGCAAUAAUACAGGCUGGUUUUUUCUGAUCUUACUGUGUUAAUUUUUAUAACCUUAUAUUGAUUCUCAGGUGUCCAAGUAGCGUAGUGGACAACGCACUCGCUUGUCACCGCUGCGACCCGAGUUCGAUACCCGUGAUAGACAGUGGUUGUAUGUGAUAGGGUAUGGCGGUCGCCCGCUUAGACACGUGGGUUCUCUCCGGGUACUCCGGCUUCUUCCCACACCAAUGACCCCCUCGCGCUAACAUCCGUGCCAAUGAGAGAUAUUAAUAUAAAUUGUAGAACUUGCUUAUCAAUCGUUGUAAAAUAAAUAAAGUUCAGUUUUAGUGAUUCUUAAAAUCUCCAAACAUAUUUCUUUGAAUUAAAUAAUGGUCUUGACAUGGCUUGACAAAGUUGGGCUAUGCAUGCAUGCUCACCCAAGUUAACUGUGUUACAACCAAUUUGUCGAUGAUAAUUGUUCCUUUUUUGGAUGAUGAAACUAUCUGGCGUGUGAAUGGUAGGAACUUUUGUUUGAUAAACAAUAACAUUGAUCUUAAUAUGGUUCAUAGAAUUUAGUAUUUUAUUUAUCUGCUUAAUAGAGAUAUUCAUACAUUUUGUUGUUAUUGUUCCGCCUCAAUUAUGUGUAUCAUUUGUAACAGUAUUGAUUAGGUACGAGUUAAUUUUUCUGAUAGAUUACGUCAUUCAUUUAAAUUUGAUUGUGUCAUGCCGCACCAUUUUUAUAUUGUUUUGGGUUGUAAUCUUGGGGGAAAAGUGUUAUCACUUGUACACUUAUCAAUACACUCUUGUUUAUUC
rnacentral:misc_RNA from 1 species